rnacentral:lncRNA from 1 species
GUAUGUUAUCUUUCAUUAAAAUACUUUCCCUAAUUUAUCUUUUACUAUGAGUUCAAUUAAGUUUAAUAGAUAUAGGAAGAUGUGGUGUGAGUGCCAAUGAGACAACUCUCCAUACAAAUAACAAUUUAAAAAGUAAACCAUUAUAGGUUAAAGUACGGCCUUCAACACGGAGCCUUGGCUCACACCGAACAACAAGCUAUAAGCAUGUUAAGAGGAAGUCCUCAUAUGAACUGAACUGUAUGUUAUCUUCAUUCAUGUUGUGUUUACAUAUUAUAAAAGUAUUAUGAGUUUCUCAAGCUCAUUGUUAGUAAAAUAAUAUACACAUAUAAAAUGAGAAUGAAAAUGUGUCAAAGAGGCAACCCAUUGAACCAAAGAGCAGAAAACAGCCCAAGGUCAACAAUGGGUCUUCAACAAGCAAGAUCCUGCACACUGAGAAUAUAUAUAUUACCAAUAAUGGGCUUCAG